rnacentral:lncRNA from 1 species
GAGGAGGAGGGGUGUAGAACUCGGAGGCUUUGAUGAAAGAGAAGGCUUGAGAGAAGGACGGUGGCGGGGGAGGGUUGUAGGGCUGAGGAGCGGACGAGGAGGAGGUGCCUCCCCCGAAGACCUCUUGGUACGAGGGGAUCCUUAUGACGCCCUUCUUCUUGUUCUGCUCCUGGCUCGCUCGCUGCCCUUCCUCGGACUUUUUCUCCAUUCUUGAGAGAGGGGGGGGGAGAGAGAGACAGAGACGGAGCGGAAGGGCGCGGUCGGGGCUUGGAGUUCGCUUGUCGCGAGUCUACUUAUUAGAGCAG